rnacentral:rRNA from 1 species
AGCAUAUCAAUAAGCGGAGGAAAAGAAACCAACAGGGAUUGCCUUAGUAACGGCGAGUGAAGCGGCAACAGCUCAAAUUUGAAAUCUGGCUUCGGCCCGAGUUGUAAUUUGUAGAGGAUGUUUAUGGUGCGGUACCUUCCGAGUUCCCUGGAACGGGACGCCACAGAGGGUGAGAGCCCCGUCUGGUUGGAUACCAAACCUGUGUUAAACUCCUUCAACGAGUCGAGUAGUUUGGGAAUGCUGCUCUAAAUGGGAGGUAAAUCUCUUCUAAAGCUAAAUACCGGCCAGAGACCGAUAGCGCACAAGUAGAGUGAUCGAAAGAUGAAAAGCACCUUGAAAAGGGGGUUAAACAGUACGUGAAAUUGUUGAAAGGGAAGCGUUUAUGACCAGACUUGUGCCGUGUGGCUCAUCCGAGGUUCUCCCCGGUGCACUCCACACGGUUCAGGCCAACAUCGGUUUUCGCCGGGGGAUAAGAACAGUAGGAACGUAGCUCCCCUCGGGGAGUGUUAUAGCCUAUUGUACGAUACCCUGGCGGGGACCGAGGACCGCGCUUCGGCUAGGAUGUUGGCGUAAUGGUCAUUAGCGACCCGUCUUGAAACACGGACCAAGGAGUCGUCCAUUAGAGCGAGCGUUUGGGUGUAAAACCCGCACGCGUAAUGAAAGUGAAAUUAGGUGAGAGCUUCGGCGCAUCAUCGACCGAUCCUGAAGUUUACGGAUGGAUUUGAGUAAGAGUUUUAACGGACGGACCCGAAAGACAGUGAACUAUGCUUGAAUAGGGUGAAGCCAGAGGAAACUCUGGUGGAGGCUCGCAGCGGUUCUGACGUGCAAAUCGAUCGUCAAAUUUGAGCAUGGGGGGCGAAAGACUAAUCGAACUGUCUAGUAGCUGGGUUACCGCCG